rnacentral:rRNA from 1 species
CCUACGGGAGGCUGCAGUGGGGAAUAUUGGACAAUGGGGGCAACCCUGAUCCAGCCAUGCCGCGUGUGUGAAGAAGGCCCUCGGGUUGUAAAGCACUUUCAGUGAGGAAGAACGCCUGGUGGUUAAUACCCAUCAGGAAAGACAUCACUCACAGAAGAAGCACCGGCUAACUCCGUGCCAGCAGCCGCGGUAAUACGGAGGGUGCGAGCGUUAAUCGGAAUUACUGGGCGUAAAGCGCGCGUAGGUGGCUUGAUAAGCCGGUUGUGAAAGCCCCGGGCUCAACCCGGGAACGGCAUCCGGAACUGUCAAGCUAGAGUGCAGGAGAGGAAGGUAGAAUUCCCGGUGUAGCGGUGAAAUGCGUAGAGAUCGGGAGGAAUACCAGUGGCGAAGGCGGCCUUCUGGACUGACACUGACACUGAGGUGCGAAAGCGUGGGUAGCAAACAGGAUUAGAUACCCGUGUAGUC